UAGGAGAAAGGCAAAAACAUUAAAGUGCUAGAAAAAUUCGAGCCAGUGAAAUCAAGCAACAUAGCAAAAACAGUGAAAAAACAAUUAAACGGAGAACACGGACAAAUAGUUAUCUCCACAAAUAAAGCCAUAAUGUCCGACAAAAAAGCCGAAGUACUCAAUAUAGGUGGCCAAAUGUUGGCAGUUUUCGAAUCCACGUGCUAAGAAAUGGAAACCCCACCAACCAUGGACGACUGCAUAGCAGAUAACAUGCUAAACCAGGUAAAAGAAGAACUGGAAAACUGGGACGACGAAGAGUACAGCCAGAGAUUGAUCCAGCAACAGGAGCAGCAGCAACAAAACCAACAGCAGAUCAGACAACAAUUACUUCAACGACAGCUACAGCAACUAAGCAACAACUAGAAAACCAGAGUUGCAGCCACGCCAACCAAAACCUCUACGGAAUGGUGAAAAAUAUCUGUCAGAAAUCAAAACAGCAUAUCAUCUCUCACGGAAUAUGCUAACUGCUUCGAAUUGUUCUUUUCUACUGAAAAACAAGACAUGACAACAUAUUACAUUCCAGUUGCACCCCUUCUAACGGCGAAACCCAGGCGGAAGCAUGUACCAAGUUUUUAAACGGAUGAAAAGAAGAAACAUUGGUAGCAAACAAAGGCGAUAACUGAGCAACAAAUGAAUUUGAAUAGAAGAAUCAACAAAAAUGUACGUGCUAUAAAAUUAGUGUUGAAAAUUUAUACUUUAUCCAUAAUCUACAAAAUAUUGAAUAUUCUUCAUGAAGUUUUGAUUUAGUAAUAUAGGACUCGACGGUAGAGAAAUUUCUUGAAUAUGUUAGCGAGAAAUAUGCGGUUGUUUAAGGAUUAAAACACUGAAUACUUGAAGAAGCAUUAUCAGACGUUUGAGGUUGGCGAAAAAUAAAAAAAUGUUUUGUAUUUAAAUUAUGAAUAUAGUUGAUGGGCCAUCAUCCACUGUAUAGAUAAGAGAAAAAAGUAAUGUUUCGUAGAAAGCUAUACCAAUUAAUGAAUAAAUUAUACAUAUUUUGUUAAAA